rnacentral:rRNA from 1 species
GACGAACGCUGGCGGCGUGCUUAACACAUGCAAGUCGAACGGAAAGGCCCUGCUUUUGUGGGGUGCUCGAGUGGCGAACGGGUGAGUAACACGUGAGUAACCUGCCCUUGACUUUGGGAUAACUUCAGGAAACUGGGGCUAAUACCGGAUAGGAGCUCCUGCUGCAUGUGGGGGUUGGAAAGUUUCGGCGGUUGGGGAUGGACUCGCGGCUUAUCAGCUUGUUGGUGGGGUAGUGGCUUACCAAGGCUUUGACGGGUAGCCGGCCUGAGAGGGUGACCGGCCACAUUGGGACUGAGAUACGGCCCAGACUCCUACGGGAGGCAGCAGUGGGGAAUAUUGCACAAUGGGCGGAAGCCUGAUGCAGCAACGCCGCGUGCGGGAUGACGGCCUUCGGGUUGUAAACCGCUUUCGCCUGUGACGAAGCGUGAGUGACGGUAAUGGGUAAAGAAGCAUCGGCUAACUACGUG